UUUGUUUCUGUUUGUCUUUCUGUUAGAUUGGCAACUACUGCAAGAAAGGGCUGUGCCUCACUCCUCCUGGCUCUCAGCGCAGUGCCUGGCUCAUAAUAAGUGCUCAGCAUUGGUUUGUGGAUAUUUAUCAACAGUGGUGCAUUGGACUCCCCAAGUGGUACAGAUGCCUGUGAGUAUCGGGGACAUAGGUGGUGGGGAUGAGGCGGCCUGCGGGGUAGCUUGGUGUUACUUCCUCUGGAGAGGGACAUCUCUAUUCACACGGGGGGAGCCAUUUCAAGUUGCUGUGAAAGGGAUGAGGGCACCAAGAAUCUGCUCUUAGGAGGCCUCACAUGCUGGAUACCAGCAACUCUGGGCCUAGAGUCCCUCUUCCCUCCUUCCUCCUAGGCAUCCUGGCUAGAAUAUGGAAUGGACAGACCCAAAACAGAAAGCUUCUCUGGAUUUGCUUUAUCCUUUUCUUGACAUCUCAGGUACCCAAGAUUAUGCUUCACUCUGCUCAGAGACAAGGAGGAGUUGCUGUCACGGAAACGGAGGAAAGCCAGCUGCCUCUGCUGUGCAGUGAAGGGAUGGAGGGCCUAGGACGCUGCAUGGUGAACAGCGAUUCACUCAGAAUCCUGUCCUUCCUUCUGGGUAAAGACACAGUCCAGAAGCAGUCCAGCAACUUCUGGAAAUGUUCAACCCAUUCAACUCCAGUAUGCAUAUGGGCAGAUAAUACAUCAACGGAGUCAGCCGGGAUAUUUGCAGUAGAAUUUCACCAAUAUUUACUUCUAUAGAGAAGCCUGUCAGAGAAACUAAUUGUGCCACUAAUCAGGAAAAUACUGGUCUGCCCCUCCUCUUUGGCAAUGUACUACCUGUAUUGAUAUUUCUGUCAACACGACUAUCAUCAAUACAACAACAGAUGUUUUAAAAUGGCAACAGUCGGUAUUAGGAGCCAUUUAAGUGCAUAUGAAAAUUAUUCAGCAUGUUUUUCAGGCCCAGAAAAUAAUAACUUGAUGUUCUCACAGUCCUUGUCAUGACCUGUGUCAUCAACUAGACCCAGAGGGUUGUAUUGAGAGAAACAAUGUCAACCUUAACACAGUCUAUUAAAUUUCUGAUUUGGGGUUAAUGUUAAUCAGCUAAGAGAUAUUAUCAUACAUACCUAAACUAGACUAGAGAAGCC
rnacentral:lncRNA from 1 species